rnacentral:rRNA from 1 species
AAAUCAAAGUAUAAGAGGUCCUACCUGCCCAGUGACAUUAAGUUAAACGGCCGCGGUAUUUUGACCGUGCUAAGGUAGCGCAAUCACUUGUCUUUUAAAUGAAGACCUGUAUGAAUGGUGGAACGAGGGCUUAACUGUCUCCCUUUUCAGGUCAGUGAAAUUGAUCUGCCCGUGCAGAAGCGGACAUAAAAAUACAAGACGAGAAGACCCUUUGGAGCUUAAGACACAAGAUCAACUAUGUCAAAAACCCUGAUAAAAGGAUAUUUAACAAAAUAUUAACUGAUCAAAGUCUUCGGUUGGGGCGACCACGGGGGAAAAUAAAGCCCCCAUGUGGAAUGGGAUAAAACCUAAAACCACGAGGGACACCUCUAAGUCACAGAACAUCUGACCAAAAGAUCCGGCACCAGAGCCGAUCAACGAACCAAGUUACCCUAGGGAUAACAGCGCAAUCCCCUCCAAGAGUCCAUAUCGAC